AUGCUGGCGCCGCUCCCUCGCCUGACGGGCUCCCUCCGCCCCCACUUCGACGCCGACCAGGCCUACCUCCUCCGCAAGGCCGCCCUCCAAGCCCGCGCCCUCCCAAGGCCGCAUGACGAGUGGGCGCUCGCCCGGAGGUUCGUGCCCAACUGGGACGACGCUCCCAGCGAUGUGCGCCAGGCGUACAAGCAGUUUAUCGGAGCCGUGGUGGAGUUGUUGAACGGGGAGGUGGUGUCUGAGGAACUCCAGCAGGUUGCUCAGGCUGUCUAUAGGUUGUUCGGCACGGAGUCUGACACCACCCAGAAGCCCCUCCAGAGAAGGAAUGAACUGGAACGACUUGUGGGCUACACCGUGCAAGACUCAGUUUUGAAAAAGCUAGCUCAGUUAGCUCAGAAGCUCUGUUCCCUUCAACGGGGGAGCAUUCAGGAAUUUGUACAGGAAGACACGAAGGCCGUAGAUGGAGAUGAUACAAGUGAAUUUGGGGCAAGCUUUGACUUCAAAGCACCUUCUCGUUUCAUUAUUGAUGUUACGCUUGAUGAUGACCUACCAUUGGGAAGUGGUGUACUGAGUUCAUUUCAAGAGGAGCAGCAUGAUGCCAGCACUACAUCUUGUAAUUCAACUGCUUUUGCGGGUCCUGUGAAUUUGAGGUGGCUAAAAGAUCAGUGUGAUCUGAUAACUAGAAGUGGUGGCUCGAUGCUCUCGGGAGAUGAACUUGCAAUGGCUCUGUGCAGAGUGCUACGUUCCAAUAAAGCAGGCGAUGAGAUAGCUGGUGAACUGCUGGACAUGGUUGGGGAUGGUGCCUUUGAAAUAGUUCAGGAUCUUCUUUCACAUAGAAAAGAGCUAGGGGAUGCAAUUCAGCAUGGAUUGACGAUACUGAAAUCAGAAAAGGUGUCUUCAAAUAAUCAACCAAAGAUGCCAACAUAUGGCACACAAGUAACAAUACAAACAGAGUAUGAGCGUCAGCUUGAUAAGAUUAAGAGGAAAGAGGGAAGACGUGCCAAACGUGGUGCAGAAAAUGGAAUGAAUGAUUUUGGUGCCGAUGAUUUCUCAUCCCUUCUUCAAGCAAGUGAAAGAAAGCAGCCAUUUGAUGACAUGAUUGGGACUGGAGAAGGGGAGAGUAGUUUCCAAGUAACCUCUCUUCCUCAAGGAACAACACGGAAACAUAUGAAGGGGUAUGAAGAAGUGAAAAUUCCACCAACUCCUACAGCACCGUUGGGACCCAAUGAGAAACUGAUUGAAAUAAGAGAGUUGGAUGAUAUUGCCCAAGCUGCUUUCCAGGGAUACAAAUCACUCAACCGUGUUCAGAGCCGUAUUUUUCAAGCCACAUACAACACCAAUGAGAACAUUCUAGUUUGUGCUCCGACGGGUGCUGGCAAAACAAAUAUUGCAAUGAUUGCAGUUCUUCAUGAGGUUAAACAGCACUUCAGGGAAGGCAUUUUGCAUAAAAAUGAGUUCAAGAUAGUGUAUGUUGCACCAAUGAAGGCCUUGGCUGCAGAGGUAACGGCAACAUUUGGUCGUCGACUAUCUCCAUUGAACCUGGUUGUUAAAGAACUUACAGGCGACAUGCAGUUGACCAGAAGUGAGAUUGAGGAAACACAGAUGAUAGUGACUACUCCUGAGAAGUGGGAUGUCAUUACACGCAAAAGCAGUGAUAUGGCACUGUCAAUGCUGGUCAAGCUGAUAAUCAUUGAUGAAGUGCACCUGCUAAAUGAUGAUAGAGGGUCAGUAAUUGAGACACUAGUUGCUCGAACUCUUCGCCAGGUUGAGUCCAUGCAAUCAAUGAUUCGCAUUGUUGGCCUAUCUGCUACACUGCCUACUUACAAAGAGGUUGCAGAAUUUUUGCGGGUUAAUGCAGAUACUGGCCUUUUCUACUUUGACUCGAGUUACCGUCCAGUUCCUCUUGCUCAACAGUACAUUGGAAUCACUGAAAGGGAUUACGCCAAGAGAAAUGAUCUAUUCAAUAGUAUUUGCUAUGACAAGGUUGUGGAGUCCAUUAAACAAGGUCAUCAAGCAUUGGUUUUUGUACAUACCCGCAAGGAUACAGGGAAAACCGCUAGAACCCUAAUUGACCUAGCUGCAAAAGCAGGGGAAGUGGAGUUAUUUUCAAAUGCAGACCAUCCCCAAUACGGAUUGAUCAAGAAAGAUGUCAGUAAAGCUAAAAGUCGUGAAGUUAUAGAAUUUUUUGAUUCUGGAUUUGGCAUACAUAAUGCUGGAAUGAUGCGUUCUGACCGAAAUUUGAUGGAGCGCUUGUUUGCUGAUGGUCUCUUGAAAGUCCUUGUUUGUACAGCAACAUUGGCUUGGGGAGUGAACUUACCAGCUCAUACAGUUGUUAUAAAGGGCACACAAUUAUAUGAUGCUAAAGCUGGCGGAUGGCGAGAUCUGGGGAUGCUCGAUGUGAUGCAGAUCUUUGGACGUGCUGGGAGGCCACAGUUUGAUAAAAGUGGUGAAGGAAUUAUUAUUACGACGCAUGACAAAUUGGCUUAUUAUUUGAGAUUAUUGACUAGUCAGCUUCCAAUAGAAAGCCAGUUCCUUGGAUCAUUGAAAGAUAACUUGAAUGCUGAGGUUGCCUUGGGAACUGUAACAAAUGUCAGGGAGGCCUGUGCCUGGCUUGGCUAUACAUACUUAUUUAGAAGGAUGAAGACUAAUCCUCUGGUGUAUGGGAUAACUUGGGAAGAGGUGAUCGGAGAUCCUUCCAUGGGUGCCAAGCAACGGUCAUUUAUUAUUGAUGCUGCACGUUCGCUAGACAAGGCUAAGAUGAUGCGCUAUGAUGAAAAGAGUGGCAACUUCUACUGCACAGAGCUCGGUCGAAUUGCAAGUCACUUUUACCUUCAGUACUCCAGUGUUGAGACAUACAACGAGAUGCUUCGUCGUCACAUGAGUGAAAGUGAGGUGAUUAACAUGGUGGCCCAUUCCUCUGAAUUCGAAAAUAUCGUAGUUAGAGAAGAAGAACAAGAUGAAUUAGAAACACUUGCCAGGAAAGCAUGCCCAUUGGAAGUUAAGGGUGGGCCGACUGACAAGCAUGGGAAAAUUUCAAUUCUCAUACAGGUUUUUAUUUCCCGUGCCUCAGUUGACAGCUCCUCCUUACACUCUGAUGCCCAAUACAUUAGUCAAAGCUUGGGUCGCAUUAUGAGGGCGUUGUUUGAGAUUUGUCUGCGAAGGGGGUGGUCUGAGAUGACAUCCUUAUUAUUGGAAUAUUGCAAGGCUGUAGAUCGCAAAAUAUGGCCACAUCUCCAUCCACUUAGGCAGUUCGAUAGGGACAUUUCUCCUGAGAUAUUGUGGAAACUUGAGGAAAGAAAUGUGGACCUGGACCGUCUUUAUGAAAUGGAGGAAAAUGACAUUGGAGCCCUCAUUCGUUUUUCUCAUCAGGGAAGGUUGGUUAAGCAGUAUGUUGGAUACUUCCCACAUGUCAACUUAUCUGCUUCCGUUAGUCCAAUCACCAGGACUGUUCUGAAAGUGGACCUGCUUAUAACUCCUGAAUUUGUGUGGAAGGAUCGUCACCAUGGCAUGUCACAACGAUGGUUGAUUAUUGUGGAGGAUUCUGAAAAUGAUACUAUUUAUCAUUCGGAGCUCUUCACACUGACAAAGAAGAUGGCAAGAGGUACACCUACAAAAAUGUCUUUUAAUAUACCGAUCUUCGAGCCUCAUCCGCCGCAGUACUAUAUCCGAGCUGUAUCAGACUCCUGGUUGCAUGCGGAGUCAAUCUUUACCGUCUCUUUUCAUAAUCUUACCUUGCCUCAGACACAAAUAACACACACUGAACUUUUGGACUUGAAGCCUCUUCCACUGAGCGCUCUUGGCAACAAAGCAUACGAAGAUUUGUAUAGAUUUACCCAUUUCAAUCCCAUACAAACACAGGCUUUCCAUGUUCUUUAUCACACUGAAACUAAUGUGCUCUUGGGAGCACCAACUGGGAGUGGCAAGACAAUUUCUGCAGAACUAGCAAUGCUUCAUCUUUUCAAUACCCAGCCGGACAUGAAGGUAGUUUACAUUGCUCCUCUAAAGGCUAUAGUGCGAGAAAGAAUGAAUGAUUGGAGACAUCGGCUUGUUACUCAGCUUGGGAAGAAGAUGGUUGAAAUGACUGGUGAUUUUACACCAGACAUGGUGGCCCUAUUAUCAGCUGAUAUCAUAAUUUCGACCCCCGAAAAGUGGGAUGGGAUUAGUCGCAGUUGGCACAGUAGAAGUUAUGUUAUGAAGGUUGGACUCAUGAUAUUAGACGAGAUACAUCUUCUUGGAGCUGACCGUGGGCCUAUUCUUGAGGUCAUCGUAUCAAGAAUGCGAUACAUAUCAUCACAAACGGAACGUUCAAUUCGGUUUGUUGGUUUAUCAACAGCAUUAGCCAAUGCUCGUGACUUGGCCGAUUGGUUGGGCGUCAGAGAUGAUGGUCUGUUUAAUUUCAAGCCCAGCGUGAGGCCUGUACCUCUUGAAGUGCAUAUUCAGGGAUAUCCUGGGAAGUUCUACUGCCCGAGAAUGAAUAGCAUGAACAAACCAGCAUAUGCAGCCAUAUGUACUCAUUCACCUGAUAAACCAGUUCUCAUUUUUGUGUCAUCACGUCGACAGACGAGACUUACAGCUCUUGAUCUCAUUCAGCUUGCAGCAUCUGAUGAGAAACCAACGCAGUUCCUCAGCAUGGCAGAUAACUCUCUAGACAUGAUUCUUUCACAAGUCACUGAUAGCAAUUUGAGACAUACACUUCAGUUUGGAAUAGGUCUGCAUCAUGCAGGUCUAAAUGAUAGAGAUAGAUCCUUGGUUGAGGAACUCUUUUCAAACAACAAGAUUCAGGUACUAGUAUGCACUAGCACACUGGCUUGGGGUGUCAAUCUUCCAGCUCACCUGGUCAUAAUCAAGGGUACUGAAUACUAUGAUGGGAAAACAAAAAGAUAUGUUGAUUAUGUUAUCACAGAUAUUCUGCAAAUGAUGGGUCGUGCAGGCCGGCCACAAUAUGACCAACAUGGCAAAGCUGUUAUUCUUGUUCAUGAACCAAAAAAGAGCUUUUAUAAGAAGUUCUUGUAUGAACCGUUCCCUGUUGAAAGUAAUCUGAGGGAGCACUUGCACGAUCACAUAAAUGCAGAGAUUGUUUCGAGCACAAUUGGUAAUAAAGAGGAGGCAAUUAUCUAUCUUACUUGGACUUACCUAUAUCGCAGACUGGUUGUUAAUCCAUCUUACUACGGAUUGGAAGAUACUGAAACAUAUACCUUGAAUGCUUAUCUCUCGAGGUUAGUGGAAACUACACUUGAAGAUCUUGAAGACAGUGGAUGCAUAAAAGUGGAUGACCAUUCUGUGCAGUCUUUAAUUUUGGGGAAAAUAGCUUCACAAUAUUACCUUAGUUACCUUACCGUCUCAAUGUUUGGGUCAAAUAUUGGUCCCAAUACAUCAUUGGAAGCCUUUGUGCACAUACUGUCAGCUGCUGCAGAAUUCGACGAGCUUCCUGUACGUCAUAAUGAGGAUACCUUGAAUCGAACACUCUGCGAAAAGGUCCCUUAUUCAGUUGACCAGCACCACCUUGAUGACCCACAUGUCAAGGCUAAUUUACUCUUCCAGGCACACUUCUCCAGAGCAGAAUUACCAAUUAGUGACUAUAUCACUGACUUGAAGUCAAUUCUUGAUCAGAGCAUACGUAUUAUACAGGCUAUGAUUGAUGUAUGUGCCAACAGUGGAUGGCUUUCAAGUGCAUUGACAUGUAUGCAUCUCUUACAAAUGAUCAUACAGGGUCUCUGGUUUGAGAGAGAUUCAUCACUCUUGAUGUUACCAUCCAUGAAUGAUAACCUUCUAGAUCAUCUUAAAGGCAGAGGAGUUUCAACAGUUCUGAGCUUGCUAGAUCGUUCUCGUGAAGAAUUACACAAGUUGCUUCAACCGUUUUCUGCUGCAGAGUUGUAUCAGGAUCUGCAACAUUUCCCUCGCCUUGAUGUUAAAGUUAAGCUACAGAAUGAAGAUAAGGAGCAGUCAAAACCUCAAAUGCUGAACAUUAGAAUGCAAAUUAAAAAUACGCGUCGUUCGCCAAGAGUAUUUUCCUCUAAAUUCCCUAAGGCGAAACAAGAAGCCUGGUGGCUGGUCCUGGGGAAUAUUACAAGCUCGGAGCUAUAUGGUCUGAAAAGAAUUAGUUUUGCAGAUCGUGUGCUUAACACUCGCAUGGAAUUGCCACCGAUGUUGAAUAUGCAGGAGGCAAAGCUGAUUGUUGUGUCAGAUUGCUACCUUGGGUUUGAUCAGGAGGUCUCCCUUGGGCAUCUAGCGAAGGUCUAA
rnacentral:rRNA from 1 species